rnacentral:rRNA from 1 species
AGUGGCGGACGGGUGAGUAACGCGUGAGGAACCUGCCUUUCAGAGGGGGACAACAGUUGGAAACGACUGCUAAUACCGCAUGACACAUAGAGAUCGCAUGGUUUUUAUGUCAAAGAUUUAUCGCUGAAAGAUGGCCUCGCGUCUGAUUAGCUAGUUGGUGAGGUAACGGCCCACCAAGGCGACGAUCAGUAGCCGGACUGAGAGGUUGACCGGCCACAUUGGGACUGAGAUACGGCCCAGACUCCUACGGGAGGCAGCAGUGGGGAAUAUUGGGCAAUGGGCGCAAGCCUGACCCAGCAACGCCGCGUGAAGGAAGAAGGCUUUCGGGUUGUAAACUUCUUUUGUCGGGGACGAGUAGAAGACGGUACCUGGCGAAUAAGCCACGGCUAACUACGUGCCAGCAGCCGCGGUAAAACGUAGGUCACAAGCGUUGUCCGGAAUUACUGGGUGUAAAGGGAGCGCAGGCGGGAAGACAAGUUGGAAGUGAAAUCCAUGGGCUCAACCCAUGAACUGCUUUCAAAACUGUUUUUCUUGAGUAGUGCAGAGGUAGGCGGAAUUCCCGGUGUAGCGGUGGAAUGCGUAGAUAUCGGGAGGAACACCAGUAGCGAAGGCGGCCUACUGGGCACCAACUGACGCUGAGGCUCGAAAGUGUGGGUAGCAAACAGGAUUAGAUACCCUGGUAGUCCACACUGUAAACGAUGAUUACUAGGUGUUGGAGGAUUGACCCCUUCAGUGCAGGCAGUAAACUCAAUAAGUAAUCCACCGGAGGAGUACGGCCGCAAGGUAGAAACUCAAAGGAAUUGACGGGGGCCCGCACAAGCAGUGGAGUAUGUGGUUUAAUUAGAAGCAACGCGAAGAACCUUACCAGGUCUUGACAUCCUACUAACGAGAUAGAGAUAUGUUAGGUGCCCUUCGGGGAAAGUAGAGACAGGUGGUGCAUGGUUGUCGUCAGCUCGUGUCGUGAGAUGUUGGGUUAAGUCCCGCAAUGAGCGCAACCCUUACUGUCAGUUACUACGCAAGAGGACUCUGGCAGGACUGCCGUUGACAAAACGGAGGAAGGUGGGGAUGACGUCAAAUCAUCAUGCCCUUUAUGACUUGGGCUACACACGUACUACAAUGGCGUUAAACAAAGAGAAGCAAGACCGCGAGGUGGAGCAAAACUCAGAAACAACGUCCCAGUUCGGACUGCAGGCUGCAACUCGCCUGCACGAAGUCGGAAUUGCUAGUAAUCGUGGAUCAGCAUGCCACGGUGAAUAAGUUCCCGGGUCUUGCACUCACCGCCCGUCA